GUACCCCUUUCUGAGUUUAAUUUUCCUGGCGUUGAAUAAUUUACUUUCUAACACUUGUCUGUGUACUACUCCACUUAAAAGUUGCAGCUUUUGCUCCUUAUUGUUCACAUUAAGACAAUUUAAUUAGCUGACCUUUCUACCUUCCUCUAAGAAAAGAACAUUAAGUGUUCUAAUUAUUUAGGUCUUUCAAACAUUUUUGCAACCACAUAUUGAUUCUAAUUAGUGUUUCUUUCUGUCUAGUUUUAAUUUCCAUCAGAUUUAUCUCUAGCUUUAAGUUGUUUUGUUUAUACAUUUAUCUACAAAAGAUUUCUGAUUUUAUUAUUGUUCCUUCCUGCAUUCUGAGUCACCUUCUUAUGAGCAAAUUGCCAGUAGAAAACUCUCUUCCUGACUUCAAUGAGUGGGGUGUUGAAACUGCACUUUGGGCAGAACUUAGGCUUUAUGAAACUGGGGGCCUUGUGUUAAGAAUUUUGGGAAUAGAGUGCAAACUGUAUUCUUGGACGAACACCUGUGAUGUAAAAGGCCAUAAAAUGGGCACAUCUAAUGUUGAUCAUGAUUAAGGACUGGGAAAGAUUCCCAGGACACCAGACAUCCUAUCAGGGAGAGCCAGGGUUCAGGGUAAAUGACAAUGACACAACAGUAACAUCUGAAGGACAUCUGCUUCUGACAAGGAUGCUCAUCUUCCUGCAGUGAUUGCACUUGUGCAUGCUUGAGAGAGUAAAGUGGAAGCUGAAUGACUUCUGGUUUAGAUUUUAAUUGCAAGAAGCUGAGGUUUGGAUGGCAGAAGGUAAAAUGGUAUUUUAUCAAGGUUAUCCUGGAGUAACUUUCAAGAAUUACUUACUAGAUUCCUCAGGCGGACAGAGAAUGAAAGAAUAGAUUGAAGGAUAGUAAAUCAUAUAGCUUUAAGAGCUAUAUAUAUAGCAGCUUUAAGAUGGUAACAGUUUUCUGGUACAGUGUAUGGAAUUAUUACUAGUGUUGAUAUUUUGUUGACUCGUCUGUGACAUUAUCUGCAAUAGAAAUAAUUAAUAGGAUUACAUUUUUCUGGUAAAUAAUAUGAAUGGUGUAUCAGUUUGAGGAGAGAAAGAACACAUCUGUAGGGACAGAAAAGUUGUCUUUGUUGUUAAAAUGCUUGUAUGCUAGUGUAAUGGGUUAGGUGGUAGUGCUCUGCAGGGAUUUUCAUGUGAGAUGUAUGUGGGUUUAUGUUCUCCUCUUGUACAGUAAUAUAGGAAGUAACUAAGAAUUUUUAAUGUACCUUGGUGUUGAUUUUGGAUGCUAUAACUACUAUGAGAAUAAAUAUAAAUAUUCAUUUUUAUGGAAACUGAGCAUGAGUCCACAUCCUGAUUAUGUCUUUGUUUGUAUUUAACACACACAAAUAAAAUCAUAAAAACAAUUCUAAAACAAUAAAUACA